UCUCUCUCUCUGGUCUCCUCUCUCUCUCUCUCUCUAUCUCUCGCUGUAUCUCCCUCUCUCUCUCGGUCUCUCUAUCUCUCUCGCAGUCUCUCUCUCUGUUUCUCUCUCUGUGUCUCUCUAUCUCUCUCUGUCUCUCUCUCUUUUCCUGAGCUGAGUGAAGUGCCCAGUGUUUUAUUUCUGUUUCUAAUUGUGUUUGUUUAUGAAUCUGUGAAACUGAAAGAUGGGCUGAUGUUGAUGAAUUUCAAGUCUAAGGGGGACAUGUUGCGUGUUCUGAGAUGCUUUUCUGCUCAUGACGGUUGUAAAGAGUAGUUAUUAGAGUUACUGUAGUUUCCUGUCAGCUUGAACCAGUCUGGCCUGUUUCAUCAACAAGGUGAUUCCGCCUGCAGAUCUUCUGCUAACUGGAAGCUUCUCGUUUUUCACACCAUGCUGUGUAAACCGUGUGAGAACAUCUCAGAAGAUCAGCAGUUUCCGGGCUACAAAAAGCAGAUGACCACAUCUCCUCAGAACAGGAAUCCGCCUCUACACAAACUACAGAUAAACUCACAUGCAAAGUCCAGAUGAUUCAGCUCAUGAAGCUCCAGGCUUGAUUUGUGAAUGUUGCUGGCUAAUGAGAGUUAGUGUUAUUGACAUGUUGGAAGUCACUCUCUCUUUAUCAAUACUGAGGAUUUUAGUCCUCAUUCAGGGGAAGUCUUAGUCAAUAACUUUAUUUGUUGUACACCACACAAGGAGUGGCAAAUUCAGGACCAGCGUUUAAUUUUCUUAAUGAAUGAAUUCUCUUUAGUGUUGAAUUUUCCUUUAGAAAGAUACCAGAGGACAGAAAACAGACUGGUGCAGGAAAGACCUACUGUCACUCAGCAGUGCGGUGGAUUGAGAUUUAUUGAUGAUGAAUCCCCCGGGCCGAGGCAGGAUAUGCACUUCACAUGAUCACUUCACAUGAGCAGAUGGAGCAUUAGCAUUGUAGCAUACAUGCUAGUUAGAGUAGCAUAAACAAGCAUAAACAGAUAAAGUCUUCCAUCAUCACUGAGGAGAGUAUGGCUGACCUGUCAUACAGAUGGAGCUCAUCAGUUAGAUGGAUAUUUAUCAGGAUUAUAUACACAGGGGAACUGUGCAGUAAACCAGGAAGAGAGAAACAGCUUUAACACGAAUGAUGUUUGCGUGAAUGUGUGGAUCAGCAAGAGGACAGCGCAUACAGACUCCCAUUUCCCUGAUACUCAGGGUGGAGGCCUGUUUUCCCCCUCUCUCUCUCUCCUCUCUCUCUCUCUCUCUCUCUCUCUCUCCCCUCCUCCUCCCUUCCUCCUUAUGCACUACAGUGACACAAGCAGAUCACACACUCAGCGACACCACCAGGCCGGCAGUGGGAGGAGCCUGUCUCCGGGCUACGGCUCAGCACCCAAUCAGAGAGCAGGG
ensembl:lncRNA